UUUGAAACCAUUUCGCAAUGGCUCAAGGUGGAUGUAGUAAAUUUGGCAAAGUCUUUCUUGUCAUAAUUAACCUAGUUUUUCUGGUUCUUGGCUUGGGACUCUUGAUUGCUGAGUAUUGUGAAAAACCACGCUUUUCUCUGAUGUGACACCCGCCCUGAACAGCGUGAAGUAGCGGAUACAAGCUAGGGGACCUUGCCAACAAUCUGUCCAUUGUUUUCAUCGUGAUUGGGGCGUUCAUUGUGUUGGUGUCAGGUUUAGGGCUGAUUGGUGGUUGCUGUGAAGUCAGAUGGAUGCUUGUUGUGUAUGCCAUAUUGGUGCUGAUUCUGCUCAUCAUGAAAAUAGCAGCAGUGGCGCUGUGGUUCAAAAUGAGGACCGAUUUUGAGGAGACUGUUAAAGAGGAAUUAUUUAAAUCUCUAAAUGAUGAAUAUGAAAACGACUUUCUUAACAGCACCAAUCCUAUCUCAAAUGCUUGGAAUUACGCCUUUUUAACGUUUGAUUGCUGUGGAGUUAAUCCUGUUAUGAACAAGACGGACAAUGACUUUACAGCGACUCCCUGGUGCACCAAAGACCCAGGCACAUGUCAUCAGAUGGGCGGUACAAUGAUUCCUAGGUCGUGUUGUACCGGGGUGGACCAAUCAAAUUACAUAGCGAAUGCAAAUCCAGAGUGUUAUCGAGAUGUUAAAGGAAAAUAUAACGAGAUGGGAUGUUACGAUGCUGUGAAGGAUUUAAUUUCCACGUACGGGAAUGUGUUCAUUGCCAUUUCAAUAGUGGUGAUGGUUGUUGAGGUCUUUGCUGUAUUGUUUGCAAUUAUUAUCUGCCGUCAAGCUGGUUCGGAUUAGAAGUAAACGUAAGACCAUCCACAAAAUACGGAUCAGGAAAAAUCUUUACCAAUGACUAUGGCCAUAAAACUGAUUUCAAUGAUUUAUAUGGGAUAUUCCACCAACAUAUUUUAUUCAGCUCACGGUCUUUUAAAAAUUGUGUUUGUAGUUCGACUUUUAUUGAUCUGUGUUUGCUAAAUCUAUUGAUCCAUCGUGAUUUCUUUUUUUAGACUAAAAACCAGAUAACAGCAUUGACCUUUCAUUACGUGACUUCUUUGUAACAGAAUGUAAUUUAGUACAUUGUAAAUUUUACUCUAUGAAUAUGACGAAUUUUAAAAUAUCAUUAUACAACAAAUGUAAGAUACAAUUUGAGAUAAUCAUUUAAUACUUGCCUUCCUAAG
rnacentral:misc_RNA from 1 species